rnacentral:lncRNA from 1 species
CAGCUGGGCUACAGUAGCAGCCUCUCGUCUUCCAGGCCUCGGAGUGGAGGAGCAGGUCGCUUGGCAGUCUUCUUGGGCCUCAGAGGGCGCCACAGCAGCACACUGGAGUGGCUGCCCAAGGGCCACCUGGGACAGGGCACCCUUCUUGUCCAGAACCCACCCGCCUGAGCUGGGCUGUGUGCAUCCAGGUGGGAAAGCUGAGGUGAACCAACUUUGGUCCUAGCACGUGUGUGGCAGGGAGAGGCUGCCAAUGCUUGCUGGAGAAGGGACCAGCACGGAUGCCAGACGGCCCUCAACCAUGCCGGGACCCAAGACUCCAUCUGCAGGCAGGAAGUGAAAGCACAGAUGCCAAAAGCAGUUGCCCCCUUGCUGGUGGAAUAUGACCAUCUUUAAACUGGGAACAAAGAUUGUCAAGGUCGUGACUCCCCUGAGAAAGCAAAUACUUUUGCUGAAAAGAUAACAGCAAGUUAAACCAGAAGAACAGAUCAACCUGCCUUACUCAAAACAAUCUGUGCACAAGCAGUGUCCUCAUCUCAAGAAUGAGUUAGAAAUGCAGAGUCCCAGGCCCCGCCCUAGUCUCCUGAAUCAAAUCUGCUUUUCAGCAAGCUCCCCAUUUGAUUGGCACGUAUGUUGAAGUGUGACACACUGGUAGAAAUGACUGAUACCAUCUCAUUGGUGGAAAACAGGUUUCGAAGAAUCGAGACAUGUGAGAAGGAAAAAGAAAGAUGGCAUGAGUUCACACCAGUUAAAAAUAGAACACUGGGCACAGAUAUCCCUCUCUAGAGUGGUCCUGGAUUGAUACGCUGAGAAGGCUGCUGAUUAGAUACUUGCCCAGAGUGGGGAAUGCAAGGCCCUCACCUCUGAGCUCCCCGACCAUGUUUGGGUUGGUGUGGAGAAGAAACUGUGGGGAAGCUGGGGGAUGAAGCCAGGCGAGAGGCCUGGCUGGGAUCUCACCCUGCCACACAGCAGGCAUCUUACAAAGAGUACCCAUUAACAGGAGGCAAAGCUAGAUCUCUCGUGACUCAGGCAGAUGGAGAAGAAGCAAAGAAAAGGAGAAACAGGGAUGGCCUUAGAGCCAGACAGGCCAAACUUCAAAUCCUGCCUCUGUCACUUGGCACUCACUCUGUAUGCAUUUCAUCAUAGGUGAGUCAGUUAACUUUCCUGAUCCCCAGUUUUCCCCUCUAAAACUGUGUAUCAUAAUUUUUACAAGGGUUAUUGAAUGUUAUAAUAAUAAAAGAGACAAAAGAUGUAAGUCACAUAGAACAUUCAAAGUGAGUUUGAUUCAAUACCAUUAAUGAUACUUUUGGAGGCACCAGUAGCUAUGUCUUCUGAGCUCAGUUCCAUUCAUUUACUCAUCAAACUCUCACUGAGUCAUCAAUAUCACAUUGAUUAUAGGAAGAGAAUUUUGCUAGUCUCAAGGAUUCUGUGAUAACACUGAUCAGGACUCUUCCUCCAUAAUAAUUGCAGAAGAGUAAGAGACAGUUGUGGUAUAUACAUGCUGGGAAGGAAAAAAAAGUUGCAUACCUGAGAUAAUAAAAAAAGGGAAAAUCCAAGUUCGAUUCCCGGUACCAAAAAAAAAGGGAGGGUGGAAGCACCUAAAAGAAAGUUCAGAGAAAGCCUCUGAUGAAGUGUCAUUUAAUUGUUUAUAAGGUGGAGUGGAACUGAAGUUCUUGAACCUUUUUAGGAGAGAAAGACAGUUUUUACUUGGUAAUGGUGAAUGGAAGAGUUCACUGCCACAUGGGCAAAGGCUCCCUAGAACCUAACACCAUAAUAUUGGAGUCCAAUUGCAAUACUUGAGUUCAGGAAGUCAUUUCCAGCUCACCCACCCCAGGAUCAUAGGCCAUCGCAGCAGGUGGGUAGAUGAGUGCAGGACUACUGAAACAGCAUUUGUCUUCAACACACGUUUUGCAUUCUAGUCAAUUCAUUUUUGAUACUGAAAACAAAAUGUAUUUUAAUGUGUUAUGUUUAUAGUGAGAAAAAUACUUUGUUCUUCAAGACUUAUGGUGAAACAAUAUGUACCAAUUCUCUAAGAUGAAUGUAAUUAUUACAUAUGACAAACAUGUCCUAAUAAAAAUAAAUCUUAAUAAAAAGAUUUAUGGUGAAAACAUUCAAAAUCCUUUGAUCUUGCAUUUUGAAAUACAUGGUAUAUUAUAGCCAUUCUACUGUGUAACACCACACCAGAACUUCUUACUUCUACGGAGCUGUGACUUUCUACCCACUGAUCACCCUCUCUCCGGACCUCCCCCACCCUACUCUUUUCAGUCUCUGGUAACCACCAUUCUACUGUCAACUGCUAUGAGAUCAACAUUUUUAGACUCCACAGCUGAGCGGGACCACAUUGUAUUUGUCUUUCUGUGCCUGGCUUAUUUCAUUUAACAUCAUCAUCCCCAGUUCCAUCCAUGUUGUUGCCAACAAUAGUAUUUCAUUCUUUUUAUGCCUGAAUAGUAUUCCAUUGUGUUUAUAUACCAUAUUUUCUUCAUCUGUUGGUGGUCAGUUUGGUUGUUUUCAUUUUUUGCCUAUUAUGAUAAUAGUGCUUCGAUAAACAUGGGAGUACAGAUGUCUCUUUGACAUACUGAUUUCAUUUACUUUGAAUAGAUAGCCAGUAGUUGGAUUGCUGGGUUGUAUGGUAGGUUUAUAUUUAAUUUUUUGAGGAACUUCCAUACCGUUCUGCUUAAUGGCUAGACUAAUUUGUAUUCCUACCAACAGUGUGUACGGUUCCCUUUCCUUCAUGUCUUAGGCAGCACUAAUCUUUUGUGCUUUGUUAAUAGGUGUUCUUACAGGGGUUAGAUGAUAUCUCACUGUGGCUUUGAUUUGCAUUUCCCUGAUGAGGGAGGUUGAGCCUUUUUAUGCACUUGUUGGGCAUACACACACACACACACACACACACACACACACACACACAUUCUUUUGAGAGAUGUCAACUUAGAACAAUUGACCAUUUUUAAUCAACUAGUUUUUUGCUAUUAAGUUCAAUGAGUUCCUUACGUACUUUUGGAUAUUAACCCUUUGACAAGACGUGUAGUUUGCAAAUAUUUUCUCCCGUUCUGUAGAUUGUCUUUUCCCUUUGAUGAUGGUUUCCUUUGGUGUGGAGAAGCUCUUUAGUUUGAUGUAAUACCAAUUGUCUAUUUUUGUUUUUAUUUCUUGUGUUUUGGGAAUCUUGUCCUUAAAGGUUUGUGAUUGUUCAAUAUUUACUAUUGUAUUACUACUCCAUUUCCACAUUGUAAAAAUGUUGAACCCUGUAUAGGUAGUGACAAAGAAAUACAUAUGUUAAUGCAAAAGUGAGAUUCCAUGACUGAUUUUCAUUUAACACAAAUUUUCAGAGAGCCAUUUAAUUUGAAAAAUGAGAUUGGUUUCUGUUUCAUCUACUUAAGUGUAUAAAAAUAACUUCUCUCUGUUGGUAUUCUCUGGAAACACUGUGAUAAAAUAUAUAUAACAUCGAAUUUAUUAUGUCAACCAUUUUAAAAUGUACAGUUCAACAGUAUUAAAUAUAUUCACAAUGUU